rnacentral:rRNA from 1 species
GGGGUAACCCUUCCGAGGGGAGAGCGGCGAACGGGUGAGUAACACGUGGGCAACCUGCCCCGGACACCGGGAUAACCCAGGGAAACCUGAGCUAAUACCGGAUACUCCGGCGCGAUCACAUGGUCGUGCCGGGAAAGCUCCGACGGUCCGGGAUGGGCCCGCGGCCUAUCAGCUUGUUGGUGGGGUAACGGCCUACCAAGGCGGCGACGGGUAGCUGGUCUGAGAGGACGACCAGCCACACUGGAACUGAGAUACGGUCCAGACUCCUACGGGAGGCAGCAGUGGGGAAUCUUGCACAAUGGGCGAAAGCCUGAUGCAGCGACGCCGCGUGGGGGAUGAAGGCCCUCGGG